AGGUGUCCGGCUUAGGAUGAGCUGAGCGAUCAGAAACCAGCACAGGUGGAUGGGUCAGUAUGGGUCACUCUCCUGGCUCUGAUCUGGUUAUACGGCUGUAAAAUAGAGCAGCAGGUGGAGUGGCAGUUUGUGGCCAUGAAGGCAGCGUCAUGGAUCGGCUCUCAGAAAGUGGGAGAUCUGUCUCAGUGUGUGUGUGCGGGGAAUGUCCUGCUCGGAUGUCAGGUGACCAAAGAUA